AUACAAAGGAUGCGAAAGUUAUACGGAUUUAUUGAGUUUAAAGAGUACAUAGGAAAGAUUCCAACUCAGAGAUGCAACCCCGAAGCCUAACUCCGGAACUGCCUUUGACACAGGCACUCUUGAAUGCGGAUGCCGUGGGAGGAAUGAGUAGUGUAGCGGUGAAAUGCAUAGAUAUUACUCAGAACACCGAUUGCGAAGGCAUCUCACGAAUCCGCGAUUGACGCUGAUGCACGAAAGCGUGGGGAUCAAACAGGAUUAGAUACCCUGGUAGUCCACGCAGUAAACGAUGAUGACUAACCGUCGGCGAUAUACAGUCGGUGGCCAAGCGAAAGCGAUAAGUCAUCCACCUGGGGAGUACGUCCGCAAGGUUGAAUCUCAAAUGAAUUGACGGGG
rnacentral:rRNA from 1 species